rnacentral:rRNA from 1 species
CCUGGCUCAGGAUGAACGCUAGCUACAGGCUUAACACAUGCAAGUCGAGGGGCAGCAUUUCAGUUUGCUUGCAAACUGGAGAUGGCGACCGGCGCACGGGUGAGUAACACGUAUCCAACCUGCCGAUAACUCGGGGAUAGCCUUUCGAAAGAAAGAUUAAUACCCGAUGGCAUAAUUAGACCGCAUGGUCUUAUUAUUAAAGAAUUUCGGUUAUCGAUGGGGAUGCGUUCCAUUAGGCAGUUGGUGAGGUAACGGCUCACCAAACCUUCGAUGGAUAGGGGUUCUGAGAGGAAGGUCCCCCACAUUGGAACUGAGACACGGUCCAAACUCCUACGGGAGGCAGCAGUGAGGAAUAUUGGUCAAUGGACGAGAGUCUGAACCAGCCAAGUAGCGUGAAGGAUGACUGCCCUAUGGGUUGUAAACUUCUUUUAUAUGGGAAUAAAGUUUUCCACGUGUGGAAUUUUGUAUGUACCAUAUGAAUAAGGAUCGGCUAACUCCGUGCCAGCAGCCGCGGUAAUACGGAGGAUCCGAGCGUUAUCCGGAUUUAUUGGGUUUAAAGGGAGCGUAGGUGGACAGUUAAGUCAGUUGUGAAAGUUUGCGGCUCAACCGUAAAAUUGCAGUUGAUACUGGCUGUCUUGAGUACAGUAGAGGUGGGCGGAAUUCGUGGUGUAGCGGUGAAAUGCUUAGAUAUCACGAAGAACUCCGAUUGCGAAGGCAGCUCACUGGACUGCAACUGACACUGAUGCUCGAAAGUGUGGGUAUCAAACAGGAUUAGAUACCCUGGUAGUCCACACAGUAAACGAUGAAUACUCGCUGUUUGCGAUAUACAGUAAGCGGCCAAGCGAAAGCAUUAAGUAUUCCACCUGGGGAGUACGCCGGCAACGGUGAAACUCAAAGGAAUUGACGGGGGCCCGCACAAGCGGAGGAACAUGUGGUUUAAUUCGAUGAUACGCGAGGAACCUUACCCGGGCUUAAAUUGCAUUUGAAUAUAUUGGAAACAGUAUAGCCGUAAGGCAAAUGUGAAGGUGCUGCAUGGUUGUCGUCAGCUCGUGCCGUGAGGUGUCGGCUUAAGUGCCAUAACGAGCGCAACCCUUAUCUUUAGUUACUAACAGGUCAUGCUGAGGACUCUAGAGAGACUGCCGUCGUAAGAUGUGAGGAAGGUGGGGAUGACGUCAAAUCAGCACGGCCCUUACGUCCGGGGCUACACACGUGUUACAAUGGGGGGUACAGAAGGCAGCUACCUGGUGACAGGAUGCUAAUCCCAAAAGCCUCUCUCAGUUCGGAUCGAAGUCUGCAACCCGACUUCGUGAAGCUGGAUUCGCUAGUAAUCGCGCAUCAGCCAUGGCGCGGUGAAUACGUUCCCGGGCCUUGCACACACCGCCC